UUAAGUUAUUAAGGGCGCACGGUGGAUGCCUUGGCACUAGAAGCCGAUGAAGGACGUUACUAACGACGAUAUGCUUUGGGGAGCUGUAAGUAAGCUUUGAUCCAGAGAUUUCCGAAUGGGGAAACCCAGCAUGAGUUAUGUCAUGUUAUCGAUAUGUGAAUACAUAGCAUAUCAGAAGGCACACCCGGAGAACUGAAACAUCUUAGUACCCGGAGGAAGAGAAAGAAAAUUCGAUUCCCUUAGUAGCGGCGAGCGAAACGGGAAGAGCCCAAACCAACAAGCUUGCUUGUUGGGGUUGUAGGACACUCUAUACGGAGUUACAAAGGACGACAUUAGACGAAUCAUCUGGAAAGAUGAAUCAAAGAAGGUAAUAAUCCUGUAGUCGAAAAUGUUGUCUCUCUUGAGUGGAUCCUGAGUACGACGGAGCACGUGAAAUUCCGUCGGAAUCUGGGAGGACCAUCUCCUAAGGCUAAAUACUCUCUAGUGACCGAUAGUGAACCAGUACCGUGAGGGAAAGGUGAAAAGCACCCCGGAAGGGGAGUGAAAUAGAACCUGAAACCGUGUGCUUACAAGUAGUCAGAGCCCGUUAAUGGGUGAUGGCGUGCCUUUUGUAGAAUGAACCGGCGAGUUACGAUUUGAUGCAAGGUUAAGCAGUAAAUGUGGAGCCGUAGCGAAAGCGAGUCUGAAUAGGGCGUUUAGUAUUUGGUCGUAGACCCGAAACCAGGUGAUCUACCCUUGGUCAGGUUGAAGUUCAGGUAACACUGAAUGGAGGACCGAACCGACUUACGUUGAAAAGUGAGCGGAUGAACUGAGGGUAGCGGAGAAAUUCCAAUCGAACCUGGAGAUAGCUGGUUCUCUCCGAAAUAGCUUUAGGGCUAGCCUCAAGUGAUGAUUAUUGGAGGUAGAGCACUGUUUGGACGAGGGGCCCCUCUCGGGUUACCGAAUUCAGACAAACUCCGAAUGCCAAUUAAUUUAACUUGGGAGUCAGAACAUGGGUGAUAAGGUCCGUGUUCGAAAGGGAAACAGCCCAGACCACCAGCUAAGGUCCCAAAAUAUAUGUUAAGUGGAAAAGGAUGUGGCGUUGCCCAGACAACUAGGAUGUUGGCUUAGAAGCAGCCAUCAUUUAAAGAGUGCGUAAUAGCUCACUAGUCGAGUGACACUGCGCCGAAAAUGUACCGGGGCUAAACAUAUUACCGAAGCUGUGGAUUGUCCUUUGGACAAUGGUAGGAGAGCGUUCUAAGGGCGUUGAAGCAUGAUCGUAAGGACAUGUGGAGCGCUUAGAAGUGAGAAUGCCGGUGUGAGUAGCGAAAGACGGGUGAGAAUCCCGUCCACCGAUUGACUAAGGUUUCCAGAGGAAGGCUCGUCCGCUCUGGGUUAGUCGGGUCCUAAGCUGAGGCCGACAGGCGUAGGCGAUGGAUAACAGGUUGAUAUUCCUGUACCACCUAUAAUCGUUUUAAUCGAUGGGGGGGACGCAGUAGGAUAGGCGAAGCGUGCGAUUGGAUUGCACGUCUAAGCAGUAAGGCUGAGUAUUAGGCAAAUCCGGUACUCGUUAAGGCUGAGCUGUGAUGGGGAGAAGACAUUGAGUCUUCGAGUCGUUGAUUUCACACUGCCGAGAAAAGCCUCUAGAUAGAAAAUAGGUGCCCGUACCGCAAACCGACACAGGUAGUCAAGAUGAGAAUUCUAAGGUGAGCGAGCGAACUCUCGUUAAGGAACUCGGCAAAAUGACCCCGUAACUUCGGGAGAAGGGGUGCUCUUUAGGGUUAACGCCCAGAAGAGCCGCAGUGAAUAGGCCCAAGCGACUGUUUAUCAAAAACACAGGUCUCUGCUAAACCGUAAGGUGAUGUAUAGGGGCUGACGCCUGCCCGGUGCUGGAAGGUUAAGAGGAGUGGUUAGCUUCUGCGAAGCUACGAAUCGAAGCCCCAGUAAACGGCGGCCGUAACUAUAACGGUCCUAAGGUAGCGAAAUUCCUUGUCGGGUAAGUUCCGACCCGCACGAAAGGCGUAACGAUUUGGGCACUGUCUCAACGAGAGACUCGGUGAAAUCAUAGUACCUGUGAAGAUGCAGGUUACCCGCGACAGGACGGAAAGACCCCGUGGAGCUUUACUGUAGCCUGAUAUUGAAAUUCGGCACAGCUUGUACAGGAUAGGUAGGAGCCUUUGAAACGUGAGCGCUAGCUUACGUGGAGGCGCUGGUGGGAUACUACCCUAGCUGUGUUGGCUUUCUAACCCGCACCACUUAUCGUGGUGGGAGACAGUGUCAGGCGGGCAGUUUGACUGGGGCGGUCGCCUCCUAAAAGGUAACGGAGGCGCUCAAAGGUUCCCUCAGAAUGGUUGGAAAUCAUUCAUAGAGUGUAAAGGCAUAAGGGAGCUUGACUGCGAGACCUACAAGUCGAGCAGGGUCGAAAGACGGACUUAGUGAUCCGGUGGUUCCGCAUGGAAGGGCCAUCGCUCAACGGAUAAAAGCUACCCCGGGGAUAACAGGCUUAUCUCCCCCAAGAGUUCACAUCGACGGGGAGGUUUGGCACCUCGAUGUCGGCUCAUCGCAUCCUGGGGCUGUAGUCGGUCCCAAGGGUUGGGCUGUUCGCCCAUUAAAGCGGUACGCGAGCUGGGUUCAGAACGUCGUGAGACAGUUCGGUCCCUAUCCGUCGUGGGCGUAGGAAAUUUGAGAGGAGCUGUCCUUAGUACGAGAGGACCGGGAUGGACAUACCUCUGGUGUACCAGUUGUCGUGCCAACGGCAUAGCUGGGUAGCUAUGUGUGGACGGGAUAAGUGCUGAAAGCAUCUAAGCAUGAAGCCCCCCUCAAGAUGAGAUUUCCCAACUUCGGUUAUAAGAUCCCUCAAAGAUGAUGAGGUUAAUAGGUUCGAGGUGGAAGCAUGGUGACAUGUGGAGCUGACGAAUACUAAUCGAUCGAAGACUUAAUCAA
rnacentral:rRNA from 2 species